CCCCCCCUUGGAUUCCUUUGUACAAUCUAUGCCCUACCCAAUUUAUUCAUAUUUCUGGUGUGAUAGGGAUUAAUCAAAGAAUAAAGUAAUCCAAAUGUCAUUUAUCUCUGUUCAAGGCUAUAGGGUCUCUGUAACAGCUAAGGAGCAAAUCUUUUCUUAGAUCAACCUCCAGGGAAAUAAAUAUGAGCUUCCUUAGUUUACAAAAUCCUACAGGAUACAUACAGUCCAUUUGAAAGAUUCCAUUUUACAUCAACUCUAAGUGUAGCUAUUUUUGUUGUUAUAAAUAAUGUAACAAAGUAUAGUUUGAAUACAACACAUUUAAUCAACAGGCCUUGUGCGUUGUAGUUUUGGUACAAAAGAAAACACAUUAUGUCAUCAUUUGAAAAAAAGGUCACUUGUCUUACAGGGUGAUUUUCUGUUGCUUGGACAUUUCCUUAUUUUCAAGCAUUGUCAUAUCGGACCUUUAGCUUAGAGGUAGCUUGUGGCCUUCUGCUGCUACUGUUUCACUAACUAUCUUUAAAAAUAAAGUAAAAGCAUAUUGCAGAAGCUGCUGUAUUUAGAAAAGUGUAGCAAUACAAAUGCAAUGCAAAAAAUACGGGAGAAAGAAAAAUAGACGAUUAUGUACUAUUGUACUUUCUGAAUGAUUCCUGGUUGGCUGAAGGUACAAAAACAAAACUUCCUGAAUGUCGCUUCCUGAUCCUUAUUUGUGUUUGUAAUUUCUUAUGUUCUUUUUUUGGUACAUGAAUUGCAGUUGUUUAAAAAACCUUCACGGAGAAAGAAAGCCAGGAGGAGAAUCUGCAUAUUGAAUAUUCUCUGUCUGGACUAUUCACGGAUGGUAGAAAAGUACAUAGCAGGUAAUGAUUUGCAGUUUUGUUAAAAUCCCAGUUUGAAUCAUGCACACUGUGAACUCGUAUGGGAGAGCAAGUCAUUGGGCUAGUGGCAGUGUCUAAUGAAGUCCCCAGUAUCUGACUCUCAUGCACACUUUUGGUACUUUUUUCCUAUAAACUAAUCUUCCUGAAUUCAUUUCUUUAAAUUAAAAAGAAAACUGUGAUUCUUUCUUAAUAUGGCCAUAAAAUGAGAACUAAUAGUUACAUAUGUAUUUUUGAAAAAAAUUACCUUAAUUCCCAUAAACCACUAAAUUUAAU
rnacentral:lncRNA from 1 species